rnacentral:rRNA from 1 species
ACGAACGCUGGCGGCGUGCUUAACACAUGCAAGUCGAUCGGAAAGGCCCUGCUUUUGUGGGGUGCUCGAGUGGCGAACGGGUGAGUAACACGUGAGUAACCUGCCCUUGACUUUGGGAUAACUUCAGGAAACUGGGGCUAAUACCGGAUAGGAGCUCCUGCUGCAUGGUGGGGGUUGGAAAGUUUCGGCGGUUGGGGAUGGACUCGCGGCUUAUCAGCUUGUUGGUGGGGUAGUGGCUUACCAAGGCUUUGACGGGUAGCCGGCCUGAGAGGGUGACCGGCCACAUUGGGACUGAGAUACGGCCCAGACUCCUACGGGAGGCAGCAGUGGGGAAUAUUGCACAAUGGGCGGAAGCCUGAUGCAGCAACGCCGCGUGCGGGAUGACGGCCUUCGGGUUGUAAACCGCUUUCGCCUGUGACGAAGCGUGAGCGACGGUAAUGGGUAAAGAAGCACCGGCUAACUACGUG